UGGCAUACCCGUAGACCUUGCUUGGCUGCUUAUAGUCAGGCAGGGGGGACAGUGUGUGCAAGAGAAAUCGGUCUCUGCAAAUGUUAACCAGCUUAUUCAGUGACUGGAUAAACUGCAGUACUCCAACAUUC